GGUAACGUUGUCCGGAAUAUUCGGGCGUAAGGGCUCGCAGGCGGUUUCUUAAGUCUGAUGUGAAAUCCCCCGGCUCAACCGGGGAGGGUCAUUGGAAACUGGGGAACUUGAGUGCAGAAGAGGAGAAUGGAAUUCCACGUGUAGCGGUGAAAUGCGUAGAGAUGUGGAGGAACACCAGUGGCGAAGGCGACUCUCUGGUCUGUAACUGACGCUGAGGAGCGAAAGCGUGGGGAGCGAACAGGAUUAGAUACCCUGGUAGUCCACGCCGUAAACGAUGAGUGCUAAGUGUUAGGGGGUUUCCGCCCCUUAGUGCUGCAGCUAACGCAUUAAGCACUCCGCCUGGGGAGUACGGUCGCAAGACUGAAACUCAAAGGAAUUGACGGGGGCCCGCACAAGCGGUGGAGCAUGUGGUUUAAUUCGAAGCAACGCGAAGAACCUUACCAGGUCUUGACAUCCUCUGACAAUCCUAGAGAUAGGACGUCCCCUUCGGGGGCAGAGUGACAGGUGGUGCAUGGUUGUCGUCAGCUCGUGUCGUGAGAUGUUGGGUUAAGUCCCGCAACGAGCGCAACCCUUGAUCUUAGUUGCCAGCAUUCAGUUGGGCACUCUAAGGUGACUGCCGGUGACAAACCGGAGGAAGGUGGGGAUGACGUCAAAUCAUCAUGCCCCUUAUGACCUGGGCUACACACGUGCUACAAUGGACAGAACAAAGGGCAGCGAAACCGCGAGGUUAAGCCAAUCCCACAAAUCUGUUCUCAGUUCGGAUCGCAGUCUGCAACUCGACUGCGUGAAGCUGGAAUCGCUAGUAAUCGCGGAUCACAUGCCCGGGGGGAAAAACCUUUCCCGGGGCCUUGUACACACCGCCCGUCACACCACGAAGAGUUUGUAACACCCGAAGUCGGUGAGGUAACCUUUUAGGAGCCAGCCGCCGAAGGGGGAACAAUGUUGGGGAUAGAAAAAGAAGGGGGAGAAAAAAAAAAAAAAAAAAAGGGGGAAAAUAGGG
rnacentral:rRNA from 1 species